UACGAAGGGGGCGAGCGUUGUUCGGAUUUACUGGGCGUAAAGGGCGCGCAGGCGGCUUUGUUUGUCAGGCGUGAAAGCCCCGGGCUUAACCUGGGAACUGCGUUUGAUACGGCAGGGCUAGAGUUCGGGAGAGGAGAGUGGAAUUCCCAGUGUAGAGGUGAAAUUCGUAGAUAUUGGGAAGAACACCGGUGGCGAAGGCGGCUUCUUGGGCCGUUCCUGACGCUGAGGCGCGAAAGCUGGGGGAGCGAACGGG
rnacentral:rRNA from 1 species